rnacentral:rRNA from 1 species
GAGUUUUGAUCAUGGCUCAGGAUGAACGCUAGCUACAGGCUUAACACAUGCAAGUCGAGGGGCAGCAUGGUCUUAGCUUGCUAAGGCCGAUGGCGACCGGCGCACGGGGUGAUUAACACGUAUCCAACCUGCCGUCUACUCUUGGACAGCCUUCUGAAAGGAAGAUUAAUACAAGAUGGCAUCAUGAGUCCACAUGUUCACAUGAUUAAAGGUAUUCCGGUAGACGAUGGGGAUGCGUUCCAUUAGAUAGUAGGCGGGGUAACGGCCCACCUAGUCUUCGAUGGAUAGGGGUUCUGAGAGGAAGGUCCCCCACAUUGGAACUGAGACACGGUCCAAACUCCUACGGGAGGCAGCA